AGGAGGCAAUGUUCAAAGUGCGGCUGCAGUGGCACCGUUGCGAGACACCUGCAAAGCCCCGGUCCCCGCUGCUAAUCCAGCUGGAGGCUGAAGCCUUGCUUCAGUUAAUCUGAUCAUCUGUGACCUGCUGAGACAUGAAACCCACCCUGCAGAGCUCAUUUACUCUGUACGCACAAAAACGUAAACAAAUAUCAAUGCAACACAUAGAGGGAGAUUGGCGAGGAAGCUGACAUAGACACUUGGGCACAAUCAUACAGCUUGUUUGAAGUGAAGCAGCUGUCUCACUUUCCCAUACACGUCUAAAACUAUAUACCCUAAAGAAAGGCUCAGCUAUGACAUUGCCACCUCUCAGUCUGUUGAUAAGUGAGUCACAGCUAGAAGACGGAGGCAUUAACCUGCUUUCAACAAGCUGUCAUUUCCCUAUGCUCAUCCUGUCAGCUCUGCAAUGAUAUGAGGGCAGUCCUACAGCUAACUUCAACUAGCCAUAUCGGUGAAAGACAUCAUAGAAAUAGGUUAUAUGAUGUUGAUGGCCUAGUUUGAAAAGAACUGUGCCACAUCCCCAAGAGGAAAUAGCAGAAAGCCGGCAGAAAAAAAAAUAAUGCAGAAAAUGGAGUACUUUAUCAGCACUGUGGGCAGCUGAGAGAGAUGGAAAAAGAGGAUGACUCAGAGGUAGUGGGUGGACUGAGACCAGGUUGGCUGCCCACAUGGAAAGGAAACAUUUUCACCAAAAAAUCCUGUUGCUAGAGCACAAGAUUUGGAACCAACAGCACCAACAGUAUCCCAGCAAUUGAGCUCUGAUUUCUCAGAGAAGCAAACGAGAACUGUGGAGCUAAUAUUGUGGAGUUUUUCAGCUACAAAUGAGGAAAAAAAUGUGGGGAUCGUGGCAGACUCACACAAACAACAACGUUGAAGCACACUGACCA